GGCUCAGAACGAACGCUGGUGGCGUGUCUUAUACAUGCAAGUCGAGCGAGGCAGCAAUGCCGAGCGGCGAACGGGUGAGUAACGCGUAAGCAAUCUGCCCCAUAUCAGGAAAUACCCGUGCCAACGCGCGGUUAAUGUCCAGGAGAGUGGCCCUCCGCAUGGAGGGUUGACUAGAGAUUUAUCGGUAUGGGAUGAGCUUGCGUCCGAUUAGCUAGUUGGCGGGGCAACGGCCCACCAAGGCGACGAUCGGUAGCCGGCCUGAGAGGGUGAUCGGCCACAUUGGGACUGAGAUACGGCCCAGACUCCUACGGGAGGCAGCAGUAGGGAAUAUUGCACAAUGGGGGAAACCCUGAUGCAGCAACGCCACGUGUGGGAAGAAGCAUUUCGGUGUGUAAACCACUGUCAUGAGGGAAUAAGGCCCGUUUUCGGACGGGAUUGAAUGUACCUUGAGAGGAAGCACCGGCAAACUUCGUGCCAGCAGCAGC
rnacentral:rRNA from 1 species